UUUCCGUAGGUGAACCUGCGGAAGGAUCAUUACCGUACUUGAAAAGUAUAAUGGAUGAAAGAUGUUGUGAAAAUGAAUUUUGUCACACUCUUUCAUGAAUCACAACUUGAACGAGUCUUGUUGGAUGUAACAAUCUAUAGUAGACUUUGGUACAAGUUGUGAGCAUGACCAAUGUGUCAUGCAAUUGAAUGUUCAACUCUCGAGUAAAAUGUGAGCAUACACUAGUGUUAAGUGAGGGUAGUCUUUGGAACUUUAAAGAAUUCUACGCCCUCGCUUACUGUACGCUCUAUGUACUCUAUGAGUUGUACGUCAAAGCAAAACAAAAAACGUGUUGUUGAAAUCAUAUAAAUACAAAAAUAAAAAUCAACCUCGAGUGGUGGAUCACUCGGCUCGU
rnacentral:misc_RNA from 1 species